GUACUGCACGGGAGGUGCAACCAUUAAACGGGCAUUGAGGAGACUGAAAAACCAUUUAUCUAUGUUUAGAGCAGUGUCUGUUCUACUGAUGAUAGGUACUAAUGAUGUAUUGGAUCUAUGGUGUCCGAGCUUUCAGACCACACACCAGAACAAUGCAGUUUUGAUUCCCAGUGGGGUGCCUCAAAUAUUUAAAAAGUGGUAAGAAGAGCCAACUACUGUGAACUGGCCUAAGGAACAAAAAAGGAAGCUGUGUAAGUGGCCAGUGUGUGCAGGCGAUACUUAACCAUGUAAAGCGGUUAAGCCAAACUGGC